ensembl:lncRNA
AUCAAGUCAGGAAUAGGCCUUGUAUUCCACUUCACAGGAGAAAAAGACUGUUUAAUCUAGUGCGGAGUAAGGGUCCGUACUAAAAAGGAGUAGAUCUCCUUCCAUGGAAUCUCAGUGCUCUUCACUGGGGAAGAGGUGCUGCAGUUAGCAUGAAGCAGAGGGCAGAUCUUCCUCCACCGCUGUGUCCUUUGGGGAUGGAUCUGCAGGUUAGUUUACUUUUGCACAGAGCAGGAAGACCAACCUAUCUGCUUGCAUCCCAGCAGUAAAUUCUCUCCCGCUAGUGACAAGGACAACAAUGUGAGCUAGUUGGCAUUAAGGACUGUUGGUUCAGAGGGAGAGCUACUGCAUGGCUGGCAUGAGAACUGCAGGAGAGGCUGACAGGGGAUUCACAGGUUACAUGGCAAGCGUUGCAGACCUACAAGAUGUGCAAAUUAUGGUAGUUAUGGACUUUCAGCUCCAUAUGUUGGCAUAUCUUCUGAAAUUGGAUGUAAAAUGAGUGAUGAUUUGUGACGUUACUGACAGUUUGAGGAGUAAUUGUCAGAUGACUAAAGAAAUUGGGAAUUUGUAGAUAUUUUUAAAUUUUGUAUUCAGAAAAACACAUUUCAUCUUCUAAUGCUUUUCAUAGCAAUUUUUAUUAAAUAUAAGUAAGUUUAUUUUCUAAUAAAAGUAAUAAAUAUGCUAGCGUUAUGUUGUUGAUAGAGUUUAGCCUUUAUUUUAACAUCAUUAUUUGUUUUCCCACACCUCAUGAAUAUAUUCUAGAUAGUUUACAAGUUUGCACCAAGUUGAUUGUUUAAGGAGAAAAAAUGUCAAAAUAGCUUCAAGUACCUUCCAUUAUGUUCUUUGUUGCUCUGCCGCGUUUCCGUCUCUAUCUAUAUUUUAUUAUUAAGAAGGUCUGCUUUUACUUUUAUGAUGUGAAGUCUGUCAAAACAAUGCAUUAAAUAAUUCUGAAUCAUUA